UUGCCUACCCCUGCUUUAGACCAUUGCUGUUGGUGAUGUAAGCCUUGGAUGCAGGUGCUUGGCCAUGGACACUCAUCCCAUGAAGCUCCUUUACACAACUGUCUUGACCUAAUCUGAAGGUCACAUAAAGUUUGGACAUCUGUCUGCAUGCCAAGGUGCUUGAUUUUAUACACCCGUGGCCAUGGAAGUGACUGGAACACCUGAAUUCAAUGAUAUCGCCGAGUAUUGGCAGGCCUCUUUUUCUCCGCUGUUGAUGGUGCUAUCACCGCUAACUGUAGACCAACAGAAGGGCAUAAAAAUUAGCAACUGAUGUGAAUUGCACACAAUAUCACUGAAAGCAGAGGGGGGAAAGCUGCAAAAGCAAACACCUGUUACACGGGCCUAGAAGACCAGUUCUCAACUGCCUGACAACCUCCCAUUGCUAGGGAAUAAACAGGAAAAAAUGAGAGCUGGCAAUGACUUGUCAAUGUGAAGUCAGUGAAAUCAUGCAGCCCCUGAGAUUGUUAAGUGAUCCUUGGUUCCACCAGUCACCAGGGAAAAGUAUAUAUUUCUGCCCCGGAUGGCAAGUUAUUGCUGUUGUGUUCAAUGUAAUGACUGUGCUCAGUCUAAUAAAGCCUUCAGCAAUUUUGGGUGCACAUGUUAUUUUCAGCUCUCUCUUUCUCUCUACCACAACAGAGUAACGCAACAUCCAUAUCAAAGCAGCUGCAGCCCCAGUCCAUGUGUCAAUCUCCCGCUCCCUUCUCCUCUCACUCAUAAACAAGACCCGGAGAUGGUUAAACUCUUGCGGCAGGAGGUCAUCCCUAACACAGAGUAGGCACCCCACCCUUUUCCAGUCUGGGUAGUGACAAAAAGAAUGAAACUACAGAUGCAAUCGGUGGAAAUGAGCUUUUUCCGGCGCUGUUAGUCUUCCACAUCGAAAGGAGCCAGUGAAGUGGUUCGGGCAUCUUCGUCUCCAAAACCCUCCAAUGUGGCUGAAUUACAACAAUUUUGCAAAGAUGAAGGGGCCAGAAUUUCUCCACUGUGCCGUAAAAGACUCAUUACCAGUUAUCGUUAACACUUGAUUGCAGUUGUUGCUGUUAAGGGUGGUCCAUCGAGUUAUUAGGUUUAGGGGCCAAUCACUUUUUCAC